AGUGAACGCUGGCGGUAGGCCUAACACAUGCAAGUCGAACGGCAGCACAGUAAGAGCUUGCUCUUACGGGUGGCGAGUGGCGGACGGGUGAGGAAUACAUCGGAAUCUACUUUUUCGUGGGGGAUAACGUAGGGAAACUUACGCUAAUACCGCAUACGACCUACGGGUGAAAGCAGGGGAUCUUCGGACCUUGCGCGAUUGAAUGAGCCGAUGUCGGAUUAGCUAGUUGGCGGGGUAAAGGCCCACCAAGGCGACGAUCCGUAGCUGGUCUGAGAGGAUGAUCAGCCACACUGGAACUGAGACACGGUCCACGCUCCUAAGGGAGACAGCAGAGGGGAAUAUUGGACAAUGGGCGCAAGCCUGAUCCAGCCAUACCGCGUGAGUGAAGAAGGCCUUCGGGUUGUAAAGCCCUUUUGUUGGGAAAGAAAAGCAGCAGGUUAAUACCCCGCUGUUCUGACGGUACCCAAAGAAUAAGCACCGGCUAACUUCGUG
rnacentral:rRNA from 1 species